rnacentral:rRNA from 1 species
UGGGGAAUAUUGGACAAUGGGGGCAACCCUGAUCCAGCCAUGCCGCGUGAGUGAUGAAGGCCUUAGGGUUGUAAAGCUCUUUCGCCGGUGAAGAUAAUGACGGUAACCGGUAAAGAAGCCCCGGCUAACUUCGUGCCAGCAGCCGCGGUAAUACGAAGGGGGCUAGCGUUGUUCGGAAUUACUGGGCGUAAAGCGCGCGUAGGCGGGUCAUUAAGUCAGGGGUGAAAUCCCGGGGCUCAACCUCGGAAUUGCCUCUGAUACUGGUGGCCUUGAGUCCGUGAGAGGUGAGUGGAACUCCGAGUGUAGAGGUGAAAUUCGUAGAUAUUCGGAAGAACACCAGUGGCGAAGGCGGCUCACUGGCACGGUACUGACGCUGAGGUGCGAAAGCGUGGGGAGCAAACAGGAUUAGAUACCCCCGUAGUCC